rnacentral:tRNA from 1 species
GCCCAGAUGGUGAAAUCGGUAGACACAAGGGAUUUAAAAUCCCUCGGCCGCAAGGCUGUGCGGGUUCAAGUCCCGCUCUGGGCA